GGAUCAAUAUGUUGGUCGUGCCUGGGUACGUACUAGUUUAUUGGUUUCUUCCUUCUGACGAACCAUGAUGUCAUUAAUUUGGUGUCUUGGGGAAUUUGGACUGUUACUUUGAAAAAAUUAGAGUGUUUAAAGCAGACUCACGCUUGAAUACAUUAGCAUGGAAUAAUGAAAUAGGACGUUUGAUUCUAUUUUGUUGGUUUCUAGGAUCGACGUA
rnacentral:rRNA from 1 species